CCUACGGGUGGCAGCAGUGGGGAAUAUUGGGCAAUGGACGCAAGCCUGACCCAGCAACGCCGCGUGAGGGAAGAAGGCUUUCGGGUCGUAAACCUCUUUUCUCAGGGACGAAGAAAGUGGCGGUUCCUUAGGCAUACGCUACGGCUAACUACGUGCCAGCCGCCGCGGUACUACGUAGGUGGCAAGCGUUAUCCGGAUUUAUUGGGUGUAAAGGGCGUGUAGGCGGGAGCGCAAGUCAGAUGUGAAAGCUCAGGGCUCAACCCUGAACCUGCAUUUGAAACUGGGUGUCUUGAGUGCAGGAGAGGCGAUCGGAAUUCCGUGUGUAGCGGUGAAAUGCGUAGAUAUACGGAGGAACACCAGUGGCGAAGGCGGAUUGCUGGACAGUAACUGACGCUGAGGCGCGAAAGCGUGGGGAGCAAACAGGAUUAGAUACCCCUGUAGUC
rnacentral:rRNA from 1 species